GGGGAAUAUUGGACAAUGGGCGAAAGCCUGAUCCAGCGACGCCGCGUGAAUGAUGAAGGCCUUCGGGUUGUAAAGUUCUUUUGGCAGGGAAGAUAGUGACGGUACCUGCAGAAUAAGCCCCGGUUAACUCUGUGCCAGCAGCCGCGGUAAGACAGAGGGGGCUAGCGUUGUUCGGAAUCACUGGGCGUAAAGGGCGCGUAGGCGGCCAUGUAAGUCAGAGGUGAAAGCCUGGAGCUUAACUCCAGAAUUGCCUUUGAUACUGCUUGGCUCGAGUCCGGAAGAGGGUGGUGGAAUUCCUAGUGUAGAGGUGAAAUUCGUAGAUAUUAGGAGGAACACCGAUGGCGAAGGCAGCCACCUGGUCCGGUACUGACGCUGAGGCGCGAAAGCGUGGGGAGCAAAC
rnacentral:rRNA from 1 species